UAGAUAAGUGGUUGCCAGUGGCCGGGGCUGGGAUCAGGGGUGGCGGGGCAGGGUGAAGUUAAGGAAGGUCUUCUGAUGGGUAUGCAGUUUCUUUUUGGGUGAUGAAAAUUUUCUGAAAUUAGAUAGUGGUGAAUUUUGUACUUUGUGAAAUAGAUCUCAAUGAAAAAAAGAAAUAUAUGGACCUUAGACAGACUUGAAGCCUGGUACUGCUGGAAGGUGAUACUCUACCUGGUUUAUUCUUACCAGAAAUAUGCCGUAAUAUAACCUUACGAGUAAUGCGCUGAGGUCAUUUUGUCUCAGUUACUCACACCUGGUGAUCAGGAAGGUACAUGUAGCCAGAGCUUCCAGAGCAUUCAAGUGAUAUGGAGUGAGAGUGAAGGUGGGGAGGAUACAAAAACCCCAUUGAGAACUAAUGGAGAAUUUUGAGGAUCUGGGAAGCUUCUGCUUCUGUCUGGCAGCAUACUGCUUUGUCUUUACUUGCGUAUCGUCUCCAUGAGAUUCUAUAUCCUUGGCUGUAGAAGAAACAAUAUCCUCAAAAAAAAAAA